rnacentral:lncRNA from 1 species
GCUGUGAUGCUGCUUGGAGGUGCCACAAUCCAGUAGAGCAGUGCACCUGAGGCCAUGCUGAGGUCACAGUCUUUUUUGUGAACCCUUAUCAAGGGAAUCAAGGAAUGCAAUCAGGCAGAAGGGCUUUUAGAGAUCUGCCCUACACGGAUGAAAGUUCAGAGGCCCUGCUCCCUGUGCCCUCUCCACAUGGCCGUCACAGCGGCCAGCAUCAUCACUCGCUUCUCGGUGAAGGGUCUAUCAAUUCACCUUUGUUGGCAUGGAGAGGAGGCCUUCACCAGACAAGAAAUAAGGUCUGAAGGACAUCUCCUCUUUGCUGCCACCAGGCCUGAGCCACCUGAUGGCAUUGUUCCUCUGACCAGAAACAUCAUGGGAUUAGGUCCACAGUUGGCUCCUUCCAGUGGGUUUGUGGUUGCUGACUUCAAGAAUGGAGCCAGGGACCUUCAUGGUGAGUGUUACAGCUCUUAAAGGUGGCACAGACCCAAAGAGUGAACAACAGCAAGAUUUAUUGUGAAGAGCAAAAGAAGAAAGCUUCCACAGCAUGCAAAGGGAUCUGACUGGGUUGCCCCUGCUGGCUGGGGGGUGGCCAGCUUUUAUUCCCUUAUUUGACCCCGCCCAUGUUCUGCUGAUUGGUCCAUUUUACAGAGCGUUGAUUGGUCUAUUUUACAGAGUGCUGAUUGGUCCAUUUUACAGAGUGCUGAUUGGUCCAUUUUACAAACCUCUAGCUAGCCACAGAGCACUGAUUGGUGUGUUUUUACAGAGCACUGAUUGGUGCAUUUUACAAACCUCUUCUAAGACAGAAAAGUUCUUCAAGACCCCACCCGACUCAGAAGUCCAGCUGGCUUCACCUCUCAGGAUGAUGCUUAAGUUCUGCAACUUGAGAGCCAAAGAGUUGGAUGUUGUCCAUACCAGGGAUGGUUAA